rnacentral:sRNA from 1 species
AUGGUGGAGACAUCACUAUACACCUUUGUCAAAAUCCAUAAGAUCUACAACACUAACGCAAAUCCUAAUGUAAACUAUGGACUUUGGUUAACAAUGAUGUAACCAUAUUGGCUCAUCAAUUAAAACAAAUGUAUGACACUAAUGCCAGAUGUUAAUAAUAGGAGAAACAGGUUGGCCGUGGGAGAGUGAGGGAAUAUGAGAAUUCUACCUUCUAUUCAAUGUUUCUGUAAACCUAAAACUGCUCUUUAAAAAGUCUAUUAGUUUAAAAAAAUAUAUUCAAUAUAGCCAGACUAAUAAAAAUAUCUUAACUAAAAAGCAAUACAAACCUAAACUGUCAGCAAUUAUUCUGUUUAUAGUGCUAUUCUGAUUGAACUUAGCUGUAGAAUAUUCUGCCAGAAAUAUGUAAUGGCAGUGAAUUACUGUAUAUAUCUAGUAACUUUGCUGUAUCUUUUCUUGUCUGGCAAAAAUGCACAGUGGUAUUCAUGCUAAGUCCUACUUUUAACUACCCUUAUUCCUUUCUCUUCAGUGACAGCUGGAGUAUCAGCCUUGGAAGUAUAUACGCCAAAAGAAAUCUUCGUGGCAAAUGGUACACAAGGGAAGCUGACCUGCAAGUUCAAGUCUACUAGUACAACUGGCGGGUUGACCUCAGUCUCCUGGAGCUUCCAGCCAGAGGGGGCCGACACUACUGUGUCGUUUUUCCACUACUCCCAAGGGCAAGUGUACCUUGGGAAUUAUCCACCAUUUAAAGACAGAAUCAGCUGGGCUGGAGACCUUGACAAGAAAGAUGCAUCAAUCAACAUAGAAAAUAUGCAGUUUAUACACAAUGGCACCUAUAUCUGUGAUGUCAAAAACCCUCCUGACAUCGUUGUCCAGCCUGGACACAUUAGGCUCUAUGUCGUAGAAAAAGAGAAUUUGCCUGUGUUUCCAGUUUGGGUAGUGGUGGGCAUAGUUACUGCUGUGGUCCUAGGUCUCACUCUGCUCAUCAGCAUGAUUCUGGCUGUCCUCUAUAGAAGGAAAAACUCUAAACGGGAUUACACUGGCUGCAGUACAUCAGAGAGUUUGUCACCAGUUAAGCAGGCUCCUCGGAAGUCCCCCUCCGACACUGAGGGUCUUGUAAAGAGUCUGCCUUCUGGAUCUCACCAGGGCCCAGUCAUAUAUGCACAGUUAGACCACUCCGGCGGACAUCACAGUGACAAGAUUAACAAGUCAGAGUCUGUGGUGUAUGCGGAUAUCCGAAAGAAUUAAGAGAAUACCUAGAACAUAUCCUCAGCAAGAAACAAAACCAAACUGGACUCUCGUGCAGAAAAUGUAGCCCAUUACCACAUGUAGCCUUGGA